rnacentral:rRNA from 1 species
AGUGAACGCUGGCGGCAGGCCUAACACAUGCAAGUCGAGCGGCAGCGCGGGGGCAACCCUGGCGGCGAGCGGCGGACGGGUGAGGAAUUCGUCGGAAUCUGCCUUUUUGCGGGGGAUAACGUAGGGAAACUUACGCUAAUACCGCAUACGUCCUACGGGAGAAAGUGGGGGACCGCAAGGCCUCACGCAGAAAGAUGAGCCGACGACCGAUUAGCUAGUUGGUGGGGUAAAGGCCCACCAAGGCGACGAUCGGUAGCUGGUCUGAGAGGAUGAUCAGCCACAGUGGGACUGAGACACGGCCCAGCGCCCUACGGGGGGGAGCGGGGGGGAAUAUGGAACAAGGGGCGCAAGCCUGACCCGGCCAUGCCGCGUGUGGGAAGAGGGCCUGCGGGUUGUAAAGCAUUUUGGCCGGGAAAGAACCCCCGGGAGCUAAUACCUUCGGGGGAGGAGGUGACGGAAAAAAAAACCCCCGGCUACCGUCGUC